AUAUAUAUAUAUAUAAAAAAUUAUUAAAAAAAAAUACAAAAAUAAUUAUUUAUUAGUAGAAUUGUUUAUUAUAUUAGUAUUAGUUUUAGGAUAAGAUACGAAAAAAUGACUAAUAAAAUAAAAAAUAGUAAAAUUGGCGAAUGGAUUUAGUGUCCGCAGUCAUAUAAACCCAAAUAAACAACAAACAAAACUCGCCCUGAUGGAAUACAAUGUUGCCUAAUUUACUGUUCCGUUCCGUCACAAAUCGUCUGUCAUUCAAGUCAUUCUGUCAAAAACAAAUUUGGUUUUGUUUUCAAAGUUCUAUUUUGUUUUGAUCUGUUUUGUUGAAGUUCUAUUUUCUAUUUGGUUCUAUUUUUUAGUCAUGAAGUUAAGUAGUAUCGUGGGAUAUUUGAAGUUCUUGGGUACUGAAAAUUCAAGAAGUUUUAAACUCUAGUCAUCUUAUUUUGGCUGCAAAAAUAGAGGAAAGUUCUGAGCAUACCAUCAAAAUAUAAUAUGGUUUAUUCCUUCAGUAAGGUCCAAUCCCCACGAAAUUAAAGGAACCCUAUCUUUCACAAAUGGCAUGAGCAUUAGCCAAAUGUUAUGUUCUUGUAAAGCAGAAAAUAGUGGAAAAUGUAAACAUGUCUCUACUCUUGUUAAAUGGAAAAUGUGAAAUUAAUGGAACAUUCAGUACAUGAGUUGAAAAAAUGUUAACAGAUUGGCAAAUGAAGACCAUUUUUAAUUGAUCUAAACAUUUAUAGAAACAAAGUAUAUGGUUAAUAUAAAUAUUACCUGCCUGAAGUAACUUGGUGUACAAAUCAAUAGUAACCAUAAUUUUUAUUCCCAGGGCCAGUGAGAAACAAUGUGCAUUUGAUUUCUAAGUGUUCUAAGGAAAGAUCUCGUAAGAAUAAAUAGAUCUGUACAAUGAAGAUUAACCUAAUCUGUUUAACCAUCGAAAUUAUUGUAUUGUUAUAAAAAUAAAAAAAGAAUGUGUGUGUACUUUGUACGCACGUAAGAAGUUAUACUUCUAUCAUAUGAUUAUAUGAUUAUAAACGAAAUUAAUAUACUUUUUAUUUAUAUUUUAUUUAAAUAUUAAAUUAAUUUAUACUUACUACUUCUCAAACAUUUUUAUUAAAAUAGUGCCAAAAAUUAAAAUAAUAAAAUUAUAAAACACACACAAACACAUUAAAAAUGCCACAAAUGAUUUCUGAACAUUAAUUGUCGGAAAAAUUUUUAACUAAAUACGUAUUUUCUGAAAAUAAUAUUAUAUAAUAAAUAUACUUACAAUCAUAAAAUGUAUAAAAAAAAAUAAAAAAAUGAAAGUUUCUAUUGGAAUUCGAACCAACUUACCACGCGGCUGGUAUUUGUGUUGUAUUGGGAUUCACUCGCAUUAAAACUUCGCCACAGAGACAGCUUGUCAUUAUGUGCGAAGAUCGUCUAACUUAACAGAUUAACCUUUUGAGAUUUUUAACUUAUGUAAAUCAAAUUAUUUUGAUUUUGAAUUGAAAUGAUUUAGAAUUGAAAAAAUACAACAAAACAUAGAGUAAGAAAACAAUAUAUUAGGUGAAUAUUGAUAGAAAUUUUGAUGGUAGUCAAAUUAUGUAAAUAAAAGUAUUACAUACUACUUAUGUAUUUUGGUAGGUUCAAGGUAGGUAUCGGAGCCCGUAUAACGACUAAUAAAUUUCGCAAUCACUUGUGUCUUGCAAAGUGGCUAUGUUCAAAUAUCAUAACAAAAUUUGAUUAACUAUUUAUAAAACACUUACCAGUGAAAGAUUCUUUAGCUUUGAAUAAGCGAGAUCUGCGGCACUCAUACUAGUCACAGUUUGAUGAGCUUUCACAUUGGCAUGCAACAAUCAUCUCUUCUAUGUAAAUAAGUCCAAAAAUAUAAUAUGAAAACUAUUUAAAAAGGCAGUAUAACCAUUGACUAACUUUUUGUUUGUUGUUUCUCUUCCUACAAAUUUUAAAACGCAACAAGCAUACAUAUAUAAUUUUUGAUAAUUUUUGUCAUGUCAUUUGAACAUCCAAUGAGAACAAAGUUAUAAUGCGCAUGCGCCCGGUCGCUAGGUAUUACCAUAUAAAAUUUCACCGUCAUUACGCCCGUAAAGAAGUAUAACUUCAAUAAAUCUCCAUUUCAUAUUAUUUACACUUACAUACAUUAACCUUUAAUUUCAUUGUGUCUACAUUAGUGGCCAUAGUCACAAACCUACUCUAGUCUACGGAGGUACUGUCUUUCGCAGAUGUGGUAAUACCGGGUUUGAUACAUUAUUGCUAAAUAAACUUUGUGAAUAGUAACUUUUCACAAAAUAGACAAAAUAGAGUUUUAAUAGUUUUUACUGUACUUAAAUAUUUUUUACAUUCAGUGGUAAUAACAUAUUAUAUUUUGUUUUGGUAUUUAAAUUUACCUAAAUAUUUAUAGAAAUAUACUAUACUAAAAUCAAGAUGCAGUAGAAAUAAACAAACCAAGACACAUUAAAUGCUACUAUGAGCACUCCCGAAUCAUAAUUUACAAUGUAUAUACAUUGUAAAUCCCAAAUCAUGAUUUCCAAAGUUUGUACGUUGUGAAUUAUGAUUCGGGAGUGCUCCUAAUAGUAGCAUUUAACUUGUCUUGGUUUGUUUAUUUCUACUGCAUCUUAAUUUUAAAUUUAGUGUAGAUGUGGCCAUCAUAGGACGCUUACUUAUAGAUGCAAUAAAAUUAUUGGUUUAUUUUCAUUUUAAAUGUUAUACUUCCAGUAUUGUAUGUAUUACCUAGUAUUAAAACAUAUAUUUUUAAUUAAAAAUAUAAAUAUCUUAUUUUUAUAAUGAACAACAUUAAAUUUACUUCUUGCGGGAGUAGAAAAAAGUUAUAGUAAAUAUUUUUAACUCGUUUAGCUUUUGAUGAUAUUUGCCAUAUGUUUGUGUAAGACAUGUUUAACGAGUAGUCUAAGGACAUAUUAUUAUACUUUGUUAUACAAAAUAGACAUAAAAUUUUGAAACUUUCAGCUUCACUUUUUCAUUGUUUCAAUAUUAAAUCCCAAAUUUAGACUCUCCACCAUUUUCUCAUAAAAAAGUAUGUUCAGUUUUUACCCCAGGUAGACCGAAACCACCAAAAAAUUGAUGUUACUUAAGUUUUUAAGUAUUAAAAAAAUGCGUUUCAUCAGAUACACAAAAUAAUAAAAAAAACUUUACUAUUAAACCAAAUUUUUAGUUAAAAUAAAAACAAAAUGUUUGCUUUCUGUGUAGAGUUACAAAAAUAAGUUGAAAUGCUAUUUAAUUUCGUAUUAUUUCCUGGUGAUCCUCUGCCAUACUAAUUUUACAUUGAUCUUACAUGCAAGCAUUUGUAAAUUAAUUUACCAUUAAAGGGCGGCCAAAGGCAUAUUCAUAUUAAAUGGGUGGUUGUAGUUUUGUAUAUUUUAUUUUCAUUUGUAUUAUUUUUAUUUUAGUUUUGUAAUAUUUUUAAGAACAAAUAAAAUAAUUAUAAUUAUU